UCACCCUCCGCAAUUCGUCUCACAUCACUGUGCUCCGUGUUUUUCUUCUCUGUGCGAGUCGAUGGAGAUUAUCUUGUUUGGCAAAAGAAGCAUGAAUGGACGUAAAGCUGGUGAUGAUGCUCCGGAGGAUGCGGCAGCAUCACUAUUGCACCUUCUGCUGUUGACCUUCUACGAGUGAGGGCUUCCACUCAUCACGUCCAUCCUGACCAGGUUUCGGCAGGCGAGUGCCGCGUCAUUUUCUCUGUGGGAAUGAAGUGACCUGCUAAGGCGUGACCGUGUCUGCGUGAUGACCAUCAUGGUGACAUCCCUUUGGCAAUUUGUUCCAAAUCUUUCAAGUGCGUAAACCAGCCCGGAGCAGAAGUUUUAUUCGGGGAGGGUGGGAGGUACUGCAGUUUUUGCUACUCAAGAAGUCGUCGCUCCACCCCGGUGUGCGCUCUUGCAUCCACGUUGCUCCGGCGGUGCGUCAACUGUGCCAACAGGACGCAACUACUGAGGGAAGGCGCGUCAUUCUAACAGAACAAUGGACAGCAGGAUGGUGAAGGAGCAGAGAAAGAAGCAGAGAUUGAAGGGGGAAAUGUGGAUGUCUCUUUUUAUGGAGAGGAGAUUGUUCUUUCCUGACUGGAAUCUAUACAGCGGAGAAGUUCCGUCACUGUCGGGCAUUGUCGAGCACUUGUACCCACAGAGGUCCAGCCCUCAGGAUCAGCCGUCUGCAUAUGAACCACGCUUGUCACCAACUGACGUCAUCUCAUCGGGAUCGGAGGAGGACGAAACUCUGAAGAAGCAGAGUGGGUGGAAAGAUGUAAAGAGAGAAGGAUGGAAGGAGUUCGAGGAGGUUGUUGGAAGCGAGUGAACUGAGAGCAGGUGAAGACAGCUGUGCAUUGCCACGGGCUCUCUGGCUGCCGUCCUCCCUUGGCCCAGGCGCCGCAUUCAAGGGUCCCAAGCAGCCGGUAGGGGCCAGAAAGCUGCGGCAGAGUUGGCAGACUGGGCCAGCCAAGCCAGGAUAGAGGCAGGUGAUGAUGGUUAGCUGAGCUCUCAUCCCCGCCGGCUAGGAGCAUCCACAGCAGAUCGGAGCAGCGCGGGGCAGCAGAAAUCAAUAUGGAGGAGAGAGGCUAGCAGGGGUUGCCCAGCACUGCCUGCAGGCCUUGGAGCCCAGGGACCAACCAACACCACAGCUCCAGCUUCCAUCUCCAUCAUUCUUUCUAUCUUCCUCCUGCAAUUUCAGCACCAGCCUGGGCCACGGCCAUAACCCUGCAACCGCCCCACACUCUGUGUGUGUUAGUCAGAACAUGCACAUGUGUGUGUCAAAGAGAAAGGAAAAGACGGAAAAGUGUGUGUGUGUGGUUCAGCCGGAGGGAGUUUUUGCUUCGUUCAACACCUCUUGAUAAAAGUUUGUCAGAGAGACACUGAGAGUGAAAGCGAAUUGGUAGAAGAAUGGGCAUCAAAGGUUCUGAUUCAUCCACGCUACUUUUUCUCAUUACUCAGUCAACCUCACCGUUUAAAUCAGGAUUCAUACACAGGAAGCUUCUGCCCAGACCCACGUUCUGGCACUUAGUGCAAUAUUUUCUCGAGAUCUCUUGAGCCAAGAUGAAAGGACAAUGUGAACUUUUUCUCUCAUCCAGUUUAUCGCACAGCGCUGUCUUUUUUGCCUCCGAUUUUUCUCACCUUCACUGAAGCAGCUCCCAUCAGAGGAUAUGGAAGUGCAGUAUUGAUCUAUUAGGUGGAUGAGGUGGAAAGUAUGUGCCUCUGUGUGUGGAUACAGCACCAGAAGUCCACUUACGGCUGUCCAGAGCAAAUCCCAAUGCAGCAGCAGAAAUGAACGCUGGCUAAUUGAGUGAGAGUCAGAAAGGCCAGCCGUUGUACCUGUUGGCUGCCAGCUUCCAGUCUGUGACUUUUUUCAUGUGUCCUUCACAUAAUGGGACACUAUGUUUUUGGCAACAUCUUUUGAAGGCCGUCCAGGAAAAACAGUCCCGCAACAUUGCUAAUCUGAAAGUCAUCAAAAGAAAAGAAGACUGUGCACGAGACACCUGAACUGCACCUAAACUCCUGGUCAACUUGAGGGGACACUAUGGCUGGCGGCUCCAAGACACUUCAGUGGACACAAGGAAAUCUACAGUCGACGCUGUGUGUUGCCAUGGUGACAGAAGAACCCAAGCUUCCUGAGAAACUAAACCACCACACCACUUUUUGUUAAGUUAACCUUGUAAUUUGACCAUUUUUUAACAUUCUACUCAACAAAAUUUGACUCUGGAAAGGUGAAGGUGAGUAAAGACGGUAAGUGCCUGUGGAUUUUUUUAAAAUUUGAAAUUAUUUAGCUUGUUAUGAAUAAAUUAAUGAGCUCUGUCAUUAUCUUAAUGUAUUUUACUUGUGUUUAUGUUAGAAGAAAGCAACAUUGUUUUAAAACUGUGAAUCAUUCUGUGUAUUUGUUGUUUCCAAAUAAAUAAAAAUAUAUGGAACAAACAUAUGUCUGGUUUUCUUUCUAUAAAAAAAAGGUUUUAUGUGGUUUUAAUUUAUGGAUUUUUCCGUUACAUCUACAAUGUCCAAAAAUAAUAUUAGCAUGAUGUCAUUGUCAGUUGUUGGAUUUUAUUCCUAGACUCUUGGGAACAAACACAUUUAACUUUUAUUUUAUUUUUCGUUUUAAACUAUCUUGUGUGUUCCUCCAGUGAUAAGACAAACACAUUAUUUUCAAACAGAAACAUUUCGGCA